ensembl:lncRNA
CACAGUCCUAGUACAGGGUUUGUAACCUGUGGUGAAUAAAGAAUGUCACUUCCUAACAGGCCCAGGAACCCCAUUUUCUUGGGAUCUCAAGAAGAGAGGAAUUCACCCAACUUAUAGGUACUUGAGGAUACAAACCCAUCGCUGGGCUUGGCUUUAAAAGGUGCUAUCUGAGAUUCCUUGUGGAACAGAGUUCCAUCAAAGCCAAUUUUAAAAGCCUAUGUAAAAAUAAUUAUUCUUGCUGCACGUUAUGCAAAUAAUCAGGCCAAAUAUAAGACUAAUGUUUAUUUUGCAAACAACUCAGUCCUAUCAUAAUUUUUUUUUAACAAAAAUGAGGACUGGAGAUAAAUUAUGCUUCAAAACUUAUCAUACAUUGUCAUUAAAUUCUAGACACAUUAGGUGUUUUUAAGCUAUUUUGCCUACAUUUUAGACUAACCCUGCUUAUUCCUGUGAACCAACCAGCAAUGUCUGACUGCAGCUCAGAAGAAGUAAAAAGGGAUAGGUAAUGUAAAAAUCUGUAUCAGUAUUCUAGUUCUGGGCAAUUAUCCUGCAAAUCCUGCCAGGUGAUGAGAGUAAAUAGAGUACCCAUUAUCCAGAGGUUUCUUUGUUGGAAAAAUAAGACCAAAGGAGCUACCAAAGCCAAGCUCCAUGCACACAAAUCUUAGCAGGCAGAUUGUCACCAGUUAUCUGGGCACGCUGGCAGCCUUGGGAUUUUUGAGCUGUCCUUAACACCCGUUUUGUUUCAUUUUAAUACAUGUCUUCUAAUAACCCUGUUUGUCUCAUCUUGUCUUCAGGCCAUCAAACUCCAAAGAGUCAUGCAACCAGAGCCUCAAUUGAUGACCCCCUUUUACCAGGGACCCUUAGAUAGGCCUCUGAGGAAGACCUGAUUGCCCAUUUCCCAAAACAGCGCCCCCUGUCUGCAGGAAGCAGUUAAGAUCAGUCAUCAUCUUUAUCCUUAUUCUAAGGGCAGUUAAAUGUACUUCUUUAGAUGGGGGAAUAAUAGAGGCAGGAGACAGCCAAAUGCUGCCUAGGUCAUUGUGCACAGGGGGCUUGCCUAAACAUGCCCACAGUGAAAAAUUCCACCCUUUAACAGAUGCACAGUAAGGGAAAUAAAUUGAUAUGGAGUGGCUCAGACUAAGGGCUCGCCUGUGCACUGGAAGAAUGGGGUGGAGUCACCAGGAAUUCACGCCUUAUGCUGGGGAGGAGCCUGGCCUCUUCAGCUUCUGUGUGGUGGCCUACUAUUCAAUUUGUAAGGUGGAAAAGCUGCAUGCAGGACCCCUCUUUUUGUUGAGACGUUUCCUUUUGCUUGAUAAAUUCCACCCUCCUCACCUUUCAACGUGUCUUUGUGCCUAAUUCUUCCUGCUCAUGGGAUAAGAACUAAGAUUUUAGCUGAACUAAGUUGUCAGAAAUCCUGCAUCAAUCCCAGCACUUUGGGAGGCCGAGUCUGGUGGAUCACUUGAGGUCAGGAGUUCGAGACUGGCCUGUCCAACAUGACAAAACCUUGUCUCUACUAAAAAUACAAAAAUUAGCCACGUGUGGUGGUGGGUCCCUGUAAUCCCAGCUACUUGGGAGGUUGAGGCAUGAUAAUCACUUGAAUCCUGGAGGGAGAGGUUGCAGUGAGCCAAGAUCAUACCACUGCACUCCAGUCUGGGCAACCAAGCAAGACCCUGUCUCAAAAAAAAAAAAAAAAA